CGAGGCUCUUGUCAUGAGCUGCCAAAGCUAUGGAAGACUCUUGCCUCUUGAGUUCACAAACUCCGACUUUAUUUAGACAAGGCCAUAAUCAAACUGGAAGUUCUCUCCUCCCUUCAGAGAAAGAGAAAUUCUGCUGACUUCUGCAUCCGAGAUGAAGGGAUCCUGGCCCACGGCUUCCCAUCAGCCAUGAACACACCUCUGUAUACCUGUGGACCAUGGUAGGUGAUUCCUGGUCCACCUGAGAGACACGAGAAGAUAGGAGUGGCUCGGAGUACUGCAAUAAAAGAUGAAUAUUCUAGAAAUUAUAACGGAGGAGAAAUGGUCAGAGGCAAAGUCAAGAACCCUGCAAUUUCUCCGGUAACAUUUUUGGCGACCACGGAGGGACUUUGAGAAGACAUCGGAGGUCAGUAUUCCUUCCCUCAAGCUGUACUGGAUCUGUGGAAGUGACCGUUGAGUGUCCGGCACCCCACAGCUCUCCAAGAACGCGGAGUCACCCCGGUCACGGCUUAGCUAUGGCUGAAACUCCAGAAGGAUUGUAAGGAACAGGAGGGAAAUUAGGAAGGGCAGUUGGCUGAGAGCCUGGAGACCCCCUGAGCUCGCUUUGGCUUCCAGCGGCCGGACUGUGACCCGAGGACCAGGUCUUUCUCUUGGAGGGAAACCUGGUCACACUGCCUGCUGCUAUGCGAGCAGGGCUUAGCUUCGGUCGAGGCUAGUAUUGGCCCUCCAGGUAAACUCAGACAACUGGGUAGUGGGUAACCUUGAAUGAUAGAUUUUGAACCCCACUAAGCCCCCAGACAUGAGGGCCUUUCCCUAUGCUCUCCUCCAGCUGAGAUUCAUAGGGGAAGGUGAGUGCACAUCUUGUCCUCUGUUGCUUUCUGCCUUCCUCCUCCUCCUGGGGCUCCCUCCCCCACUCUUUUGCUCUCCUCAUCUCCAUUCCUAUAGCUGGCCUGGAGAAAGGGAGAGAGAAAUUCCACAGGUCUCUGCACCUAAAGGAAAAAGCUGUUACCUGUUAACCCUUUCCAACCUGGUAGAAGGUUUUCCAUCUUUGCAGCUUAUGGUAGCUCUGAUGCGUCUUGAAGUUUUUGUGCGCUGUUACUGUUGCUAAGCUUUGAUUGUCUGAGGACUGAAUCUGGAAAGGAGCUAAAGUUAACUAUCUGUUUUAAUUGACUGAGUGUUUGCAGUAGUCCUGAUUGAUCUGGCUUUGGUUGAAUUAUAGGAGGUUCCCAGCACUCUUGGUGAAACGGCGCACCUACCAACCCCAGGGCCAGUCCUGCUAGGCCCCAGCUAGUGCAGUCUUCCCCGUAAAUGGGGGACCACAGCCUUUCUCUGCACUCUAUUCCAGUCCACGUGGCCUGCCACACCCAGGCAGGCAUAGCCAGCUAUCUCCAGGGAGAGCGCCCCCAGGGCUGCUUUUUUCCUCCCCUGGAGGAAUUUUCAAUUCAAUACUACUGCUGGCUUUACCUAAGGGAGCAAGAACCUUAAUCCAUUAACCCUUUCCAACCUGAUGGGUUUUUCUCUUUGCAGUUAAUGGAAGCCUAAGCAAUGGGCUCAUAUGCUGAUGACUAGUUCUUUUCUGUGCUGCUUUCCCUGACUUAUCUGAGAGCGUUUACCUGUCUUGAAGUUUUCGCAUUUUUUUAUUGCCAUUAUGAGUCUUGAUUGGGAAAACUGCAACGCGAAGUUGUUUACGUUAAACUGUUUGACUCUCUGACAGCUUGAAUUCUAAACCGAGUCUUCCAACUUUGGGCUUCCAGUCGAUCCCUGGAACUCUCAAAGGAUGAGACUCUAAAAUUUGUUAAAAUAACAGCUGUUUGAGUCAAUUCAGAUUAUGUGAAAUGUAUUAAAAUGUUGUUAAUGGUGUCAGACUUCAUGUUUUUGCUUUCCAGCUAGAGUGGUCUUAUGAAAAUGAGAGUAAAUUCUGUGUAUACAAGUCUUUAUGUUAACAAAAGUAAGCCAGUACAGAUUGG